rnacentral:lncRNA from 1 species
CCCUAUAAAUAUCAAUUCACUCCUCUUAAUUCUCGCAUCUUUUCACAAAAACCCUUGUUUCUCUUUGUCUUUCUAAAAAUGGGGUUUCUCUCUCUAAAAACUGUUGUGUUAUUGCAUCUCUCAGUCCUUUUAUUGAGUUGUUUGAAUGUGCUUGGUAGUUAUGAUGGUGUAAUGAGUAUAGCAGAUACACCCGAUAAUCUCCCUACCCAGCCUCCGGCUCAGGCCCCUCAGUACCACCACCCCAAACAAUAUCCUCCGGCUCAACCUCCUAGCCAAGCGACGGCUAAGCCACCGGUUCAACCAGCUCCAAGCCAUGCACCAACUCAACCUCCAAGCCAUGCACAAACUCAACCUCCAAGCCGUGCGCCAACUCAACCUCCAAGCCGUACGCCGAGUCCUCUGCCGCCGAGGAAGUUUGUAGCUGUGCAAGGUGUUGUUUACUGUAAGGACUGCAAGUAUGUAGGGAUCAAUACCCU